AGCAGCCGCGGUAAUUCCAGCUCCAAUAGCGUAUAUUAAAGUUGUUGCAGUUAAAAAGCUCGUAGUUGAAUUUCGGGGUCAGCAAGUUGGUCGUGCCACCGGUAUGUACUGGCUUUGCUGAUUCCUCCUUCUUGUAGAACCGUAAUGCCAUUUAGUUGGUGUUGCGGGGAAACAGGACUGUUACUUUGAAAAAAUUAGAGUGUUUAAAGCAGGCUAACGCCUGAAUACAUUAGCAUGGAAUAAUGAAAUAGGACGAGCGAUCCUAUUUUGUUGGUUUCUAGGAUUGACGUAAUGAUUAAUAGGGAUAGUUGGGGGCAUUAGUAUUCAAUUGUCAGAGGUGAAAUUCUUGGAUUUAUUGAAGACUGACUACUGCGAAAGCAUUUGCCAAGGAUGUUUUCAUUAAUCAAGAACGAAAGUUAGGGGAUCGAAGACGAUCAGAUACCGUCGUAGUCUUAACCAUAAACUAUGCCGACUAGGGAUCGGAUGAUGUUAAUUUUUAAUGACUCAUUCGG
rnacentral:rRNA from 1 species